GUCCCCUUCUCACAAAGUCACGCUUUUGAGCAGGUUCCCUUGGGAGAGCUCCGCGGUACAACUCGGGGAACUGCCUUCCAGACCCUCUCAGCUCCAGUGCGGGAAGGCUUGAAAAACAUCUCUGAAUGCCAGCGAGACAAACAGGAGCCGCCCAAGCCAGGCCUCCUCCUGAGGCAUCGCGGGAGCCCCUCUGCCGCCCUGCCCCGGGCCCCGCUGCUCAGCCACGGCCUCAGAUCCUCCAGCUGGGCCGGCCGGACAAACCCUGAUCUUCACUCCUGAUUAGGAAUUGUGUGUGAGAGAUGUUUUGAGCUGAAAUAAUAUACAAGAGUUUCCCUAGAGAAAAUAUACACGCUUGUUUUUUGGAACCACUUAACUCAACCCUGUACCAAGCAGACGUACAUUUGGGACAACAUGACACAUUUCUUAACCUAGAAGCACGGCUGGCACAAAUUGAUGCCAUCACGAUAGAGAUUAAUGUGCUCGAUUUAUCAGGCCCGCUGGCUGCAGGUGAAUGGUGAGCCAUUGUUAUUCAACUGGUUAAUAUUAUUUUGACAUAAAUCAAGGUAACGCCUAACAACGUCUGAGUCUUUAAAUCAACCCUCCUUUUCCUCUUUGGAACAUAAAAUUGGGCUGUUGCCAAAAGCGCCAGGAAACAGAGGGCUACAAGUGGCAUUUCAAUACGGAACGUACCCAUUCAGGACAGGAUGCUGGGCUCACGGUUCACAGCCCCUUGCCAAUAUUACAAGUCAGCCUGGGGAGAGUUUCGAAUUCACACUGACAGUGACGUGCUGCUGCUGGAGCUGAAGUUUUCUCUUUUUCUGGAUUGACUCUAGGAUCUGGUUCUCUCUACACUGCCCACAUGGACCCCAAAGACAGACAUCGAGGACCGGCUGCCAAGCCCAUGCGGAGCCCUUCUCUCUCCUUCAGGCGAUGGUGCCAGCUCUGGCAAAGCUCAGAGACAAGACUCACUCUGCCAUGAAGCACUUCCAUGAAUUCCACGUCUAAGAGCUUCAGCUGGAAGGAAAUCAGGAAAAGCCGAUCACGUGUGAUCAGAGAGGGUCCCGGGGCAGCCACGUGCCACCAGAAAUAAGAGCACCUCCCACAGAGCUGUGGCCCCACAGGCAGAUGUUUAACAGAAGCCAAACCACAGGUAAAAUGACAGAACCAACUUCUCCCAAAUGAUGUCACACUCCUGGACACUUCUCCAGGAGCGCAGACAAAGUCGACAAAGCAUUCAUCUCAAAGACCACUGGGACUGAGGUGGCCGUCUGGCAGUUUGGGAAUGACUCGCUUUCAACGAAAGCUCAUGGUGUGACUUGGGAUUGCUGCUAACACAAACCCAAGAAGUGCCCCACAUCCAACACAUCAGCUCCCUGACCCACGUCCCUCCGACCCACAGUGGGCCCGUCAUCCAGGAUGUGGUGCUUGUUCGGGCUGUGCUUGCCGUGAAGAUGCUGCUAAUGCAGGCUGCGCUGCGUGGAAGGGUGGCCCUGGUCUGCAAGGGGAGGAGGGGUGAUGCUUGCACCACCUGUCUCUCCCCGGGCACACAGAACAGGGAGGAGAAGAGAGGCUGUGUGUAAGCAAACACCUGGGGAAACUGCAAGCGCUAGCUCCCCGGGCUGACUGUGCUCCCCUCUCGUCUUGUCAAAUGACCAUGGCUGACGGCACGUGAGAAGACAGCUGCCUUCAGACUUUGCGAAGGAGCUUUGCAUCCAG
rnacentral:lncRNA from 1 species